rnacentral:rRNA from 1 species
CCUACGGGUGACAGCAGUGGGGAAUAUUGGACAAUGGGGGGAACCCUGAUCCAGCGACGCCGCGUGAGUAAAGAAGAAUUUCGGUAUGUAAAGCUCUAUCAGCAGGGAAGAAAGAAAUGACGGUACCUGACUAAGAAGCACCGGCUGACUACGUGCCAGCAGCCGGGGUAAUACGUAGGGGGCAAGCGUUAUCCGGAUUUACUUGGUGUAAAGGGAGCGUAGACGGGGAUGCAAGUCUGAAGGGAAAGGCUGGGGCCCAACCCCCGGACGGCUUUGGAAACUGUAUGGCUGGAGUGCAGGAGAGGUAAGUGGAAUGCCUGGUGUAGCGGUGAAAUGCGUAGAUAUUAGGAGGAACACCAGUGGCGAAGGCAGCUUACUGGACUGUAACUGACGUUGAGGCUCGAAAGCGUGGGGAGCAAACAGGAUUAGAUACCCCUGUAGUC